GCCUGGGUGGCUCAGUCAGUUAAGCGUCUGACUUCGGCUCAGGUCAGGAUCUCAUGGUUCGUGAGUUCAAGCCCCAUAUCAGGCU
rnacentral:tRNA from 1 species